CCCGUAGGAAGAGAAAACAAAAGUGAUUCCGUGAGUAGUGGCGAGCGAAAGCGGAGGAUGGCUAAACCGUGUGCAUGUGAUACCCGGCGGGGGUUGUGUGUGCGGUGUUGUGGGGUUCGUCUUCUUCCCUCCGCCGAGGGGAGCAGGAGUAAAAAACUGUUGGGUUAGGUGAAGUGGCUUGGGAUGGCCUGCCGUAGAGGGUGAGAGCCCCGUAAUUGAAAACCUGUCAGCUCCUGUGAUGUGUCCCCGAGUAGCAGCGGGCCCGU
rnacentral:rRNA from 1 species